GACGUAGGAGGCGAGCGUUGUCCGGAUUCAUUGGGCGUAAAGAGCACGCAGGCGGUUUGGCAAGUCGGAUGUGAAAUCCCGAAGCUCAACUACGGGCCUGCAUCCGAAACUGCCCGACUAGAGGUAGGUAGGGGAGAUCGGAAUUCCUGGUGUAGCGGUGAAAUGCGCAGAUAUCAGGAGGAACACCGGUGGCGAAGGCGGAUCUCUGGGCCUUACCUGACGCUCAGGUGCGAAAGCUAGGGGAGCGAACAGG
rnacentral:rRNA from 1 species